rnacentral:rRNA from 1 species
GCAUAUCAAUAAGCGGAGGAAAAGAAACUAACAAGGAUUCCCCUAGUAACGGCGAGUGAAGCGGGAAGAGCACAAAUUUAAAAUCUACCUGGUUUCCAGGUCGAGUUGUAAUUUGAAGAAACGUUUUUGACAUUCCGGGUUGGGAUAAAUCCUUUGGGAUAAGGUAUCAUGGAGGGUGAGAAUCCCGUGUAUACCAACCGCAGGGAUGUUAUUUAAUACGUUUUCUAAGAGUCGAGUUGUUUGGGAAUGCAGCUCUAAAUGGGUGGUAAAUUUCACCUAAUGCUAAAUAUAAGCGAGAGACCGAUAGCGAACAAGUACCGUGAGGGAAAGAUGAAAAGAACUUUGAAAAGAGAGUUAAAUAGUACGUGAAAUUGUUGAAAGGGAAACGAUUGAAGUCAGUCAUGCCGGCGGGAAUCAACUUAGAGGAAACUCUAAGUGCACUUCACGUUUGGCAGGUCAGCGUCGAUUUUGGAUGUCAUAAAAUGAUUGGGGGAAGGUAGCUCCUUCGGGAGUGUUAUAGCCCUUGAUAGAUGUGAUGUCUGGGAUCGAGGAUUGCAACGGAUACCCUUUGGGCUAGCCGCCUGAUCUCUAACUGGUGUUGGGUUAUGGACAGCAUGCUGACUGUGAUUUAAUUACUGGUUAAAAGGUUAGAGCGAGUGUAAAUUCGUUAAGGACGCUGACGUAAUGGCUUUAAACGAC